CAACGAACAAUUUCCAAAGUUCCAACCUGGGUGGGAUCACUUGUCAAUCUCCAAGAACUAAGCUUCCGCAUUACAAAAAUGACACAAGAUGACCUUGAUGUACUUGGAGAUAUACCGGCUCUUCGCUCUCUUGCCUUCCACAUGGAAAUCUGCACCAAAACUACACCCUGGGAAGAUCCUAGACCCGAGGAUUGGCUUAGGAUCAGAAAAGGGUUUCAAAGUUUGAACUCCUUCCGCUUCGAAUGUGGCCCUUGGGAGUGGAUGUGUCUCAUAUUUGAAGCUGGAUCGAUGCCAAAGCUCGAAAUACUUGACCUUGAGGUUCCAUCUGUUGAGAAUUACUUGAUUCAAAAACUUGGUUUUGAUCUUGGCAUCAAUAACCUCUCCUGCAUCUCCACAGUUACUCUUAGAUUUAGUAAUCGGGGAUGCAGCCAAGAAAAUGAAGUUGCCAUCAGGAAAUCAGUCAGCAUACAUCGCAAUAGACCUGCACUGGAAAUAAUAAGAAAAAAGGCUCGAAGUUGAAGAGGCAAAAGGAAAAUCUGGAUGGGCUGAUAGUAAACCUGAAACUCUGGUGAACUUCGAGUUGGGACUUGUGAGCAUCAGAUAAAGGAAGCAAUGCAGUGAGUUGAUAAGAGAUGGCGUGUGAUCACAAUUCACAGCACAGACGAAUCCAAGGAACCUUUCCGCUUUUGGGGUUUGAAGAUGACGCGAUGGAAAUUCUCUUGCUGCGAUUGAAGCGUCAGCCAAUUAGAAUCAGAAUUGACACAACUCCGGAUCAUGUCUCUCUGUGCUAGAAACGUUGAUUACCUGUGC